GAUGAGGGUCAUUUCCUAU
rnacentral:snRNA from 1 species